AGAUAGAGCUAAGAACAUCAAAUCACAGGUUAAGAGUAAUGUUGUCAACGUUAAUUUUCAUGUCACUCAGUACACAAAGAUUAUCGCUGAUUUACGUUUGGAGGUAACUGAAUUAAAAGCAAGGCUUAGCCAACAGUCUUCAAGCAGCGACAGUGGCAACCAUUCAGAGAAUGAAGGCAGAGUUUGUAAGAUUAAAGCAGAUCACCCUAGCCAAGAAGAUAUUAUGAAGUAAGAUUCUG